UCCGGCCAUCGCCCCACCAUCUGUGGGGAGUGCGGGAAGGGGUUCAGCCGCAGCUCGGACCUGGCCCGGCACCGGGUGACCCACACCGGGGAGAGGCCUUACCGCUGCGGGGACUGCGGCAAGGCCUUCAGCCAAAACUCCAACCUGGCCACCCACCGCCGGACCCACACCGGGGAGAAACCCUACGGCUGUGGGGCCUGCGGAAAACGCUUCGGGGAGAGCUCGGCCUUGGUCCAACACCGCCGGACCCACACCGGGGAGAGGCCCUACCGCUGCGGGGACUGCGGCAAGAGCUUCAGCGUCUCCUCCAACCUCAUCCGGCACCGGCGGACCCACAGCCAGGAGAGGCCUCACCUCUGUGGGGAGUGCGGGGAUGGGUUUCGGCAUAAAUCCCAGCUCCGGAGGCAUCAGAAGAUCCACCUGGGCCAACGGCCUUUUAUCUGCAACGAGUGCGGAAAGAGCUUCAGCCAUUGGUCCAAGCUGCUGCGGCACCGCCGGACCCACACCGGGGAACGGCCCAGCACCUGCGGGGAGUGCGGCAAGAGCUUCAGCCAAAACUCCCACCUGGUCCAACACCGCCGGACCCACACCGGGGAGAAGCCCUAUAGCUGCGGGGACUGCGGCAAGAGCUUCAGCCAAAACUCCCACCUGGUCCAACACCGCCGGACCCACACCGGGGAGAAGCCCUAUAGCUGCGGGGACUGCGGCAAGAGCUUCAGCUGGAGCUCCAACCUCAUCCAGCACCAACGCAUCCACACCGGGGAGAAACCCUACAGCUGCGGGGAGUGCGGCAAGAGCUUCACCCAGAGCAAGAACCUCAUCAAACACCAACGCACCCACUCGGGGGCUCGGCCCCACCGCUGCGCCCAUUGCGGCCGGGGCUUUGCCCAGAGCGGCAACCUGCUGAAGCACCAGCGGGUCCACGGGGCCGGGGGGCAACCCCGAGAUGGGGGGCCACCGGAGCCUUUUAUCUGUGUUGAGUGUGGGGAGAGCUUCGCCCGCAGCGCCACGCUCAACCGCCACAAGCGCGUCCACAAGCCCCUCUUUGUCCGUGCCACCAAAGUGGGGGGGACAGGGCCCGAGCCCCGGGGACAGGGAGGAGGUGACCCCGAGUGCGGGAAGAGCUUCACCCAGAGCAAGAACCUCAUCAAACACCAACGCACCCACUCGGGGGCUCGGCCCCACCGCUGCGCCCAUUGCGGCCGGGGCUUCGCCCAGAGCGGCAACCUGCUGAAGCACCAACGGGUCCACGGGGCCGGGGGGCAACCCCGAGAUGGGGGGCCACCAGAGCCUUUCAUCUGUGUUGAGUGUGGGGAGAGCUUCGCCCGCAGCGCCACGCUCAACCGCCACAAGCGCGUCCACAAGCCCCUCUUUGUCCCCUGAGAGGGGGGACACGCGCGGACUGACCCAUGGGGACGUGGUGGCACCGAGCUGGAGGACAUGGGGACUGAGCUAUGGCCAUGGGGAGGAGGAGACACCAAGCUGGAGGACAUGGGGACUGAGCUAUGGCCAUGGGGAGGAGGAGACACCAAGCUGGAGGACAUGGGGACUGAGCUAUGGCCACGGGGAGGAGGUGGCACCAAGCUGGAGGACAUGGGGACUGAGCUAUGGCCAUGGGGAGGAGGUGGCACCAAGCUGGAGGACAUGGGGACUGAGCUAUGGCCACAGGGAGGAAGUGGCACCAAGCUGGAGGACAUGGGGACUGAGCCAUGGACAUGGGGACAAGGUGCCACCAAGCCUUGGGGACACAAGGACUGUGCCAGGGACAUGGGGACAAGGUGACACCAGGAUGGGGGACAGACGGACUGGACCACAAGGAUGAGGUGCCACCAAGCCAUGGGGACACCCAGGUGGCAUCACGGGCAAGGGGACGAGGUGACACCAAGCUGGAGGAGACAUGGACUGAGCUGGGGACAUGGGGACAAGGUGCCACCAAGCCUUGGGGACACUCGGUCUGUGCCAGGGACAUGGGGACAAGGUGCCACCAAGAUGGAGACAUGGACUGAGCUGUGGACAUGGGGACGAGGUGCCACCAAGCCUAGGGGACAUCCAGAUGGCACCAUGGGUGAGGGGAGGAGGUGACACCAAGCCUUGGGGACACAAGGUCUGUGCCAGGGCCAUGGGGACGAGGUGCCACCGAGAUGGAG